GUAAAAUAUAUACAAUAGAAAUAUACAAUUUUCUCAUUAUUAUUUGUACUCUUUCUGCUAAUAUGGUAUAAGAGUCGUAAGAUUUCGAUUUCUAGUUUCUGGGGUCUCUUCUCUCUUUGCAAUUCUGAUUAGUUUUCCAUUAAGCCACCUAACUCUGUCCGUAUUUCACACACUGUUCAUCUCUGUUCCUUUGAAAUCAAGGAACAAAUGGAGAAAUUUGACAUUUGAAAACCUAUUGCAACGCUUCUAACUGACUCCAAUUAUAAUAUCUAGGUUCAAUCCAAUUAUAAUAUCUAGGUUCAAGGUAUGAAAUAUACAAUUUUCUCUUUAUUAUUUGUACUCUUUCUGCUAAUAUGGUAUAAGAGUCGUAAGAUUUCGAUUUCUAGUUUCUGGGGUCUCUUCUCUCUUUGCAAUUCUGAUUAAUUUUCCAUUAAGCCACCUAACUCUGUCCGUAUUUCACACACUGUUCAUCUCUGUUCCUUUGAAAUCAAGGAACAAAUGGAGAAAUCUUACAUUUUAAAACCUAUUGCAAAGCUUCUAACUGACUCCAAUUAUAAUAUCUAGGUUCAAGGUAUGAAAGGUUUUUUGAUAGGUCGCAAACUUUGGUGUAUUGUCACUGGCGAACUGUUGUCCAACGUUCUUGUUCUCACACCUCUCAGCAUAAUGGGUGAGCCGAAUGCAAGCAUCGCCAUAUUCUUGAUUCUGUGAUUCUGAUAUCAGCUCACCCCACCUGCUCUUGUUGAACGUGCACCAGUUGUUGAUUCUGUACUUGUGCCUGCAUCUCCUCCUCCUACUACUCUCCGUCGUUCUACACCCACCUACUCCUGUUGAACCUGCACCGGUUGUUAAUUCUGUACCUGUGCCUGCAUCUCCUCUUACCACUACUCUCCGUUGUUCUACUCGGUUAGUCAGUUUAUGUCUGCUCCUCGUUCAAUUCAUUUCUCUGCAGUGCUUCGAAUCCUUCCUUCCUUAUAUCAAAGAAACUCUUUUUCAUGGUUUACUUUUCUCUGCUACCUCCUCGGUAUUAUCUAGCUACUCUGACGCUAAUUGGACUGGUGAUCUGACUGAUCGUCGUUCUACAACUGAUUAUUUCUUCUUGGGAGAUUCUGGAUAUCGUGCUAUUGUUGAUGCUACAUUUGAGCUACAUUUGAACUACUUUAGUUACGGUGGCUAUUAAUUAAUAUGGGGUCACUCACUCUUCUGCCACCAUACUUCAUUGUGACAAUAUAAGUGCCAUACAAAUUUCUCAUAAUGAUGUCUUUCAUGAGUACCAAACACAUCAAAAUUGAUUGUCAUUUUGUACGUCAUCAUGUUGCUCACGGCACCAUAUGUUUGAUUCCUGUCUCUUAUGCUAGCCAAACUGUGGAUAUUUUCGCCAAACUGCGUAUAUUUUCACUUGGCACCUACGCUACCACAUUGAGUUUGAGGGGAUGUUAGCAUGAUUAUAGGAAAUCAAAUCUUUGCAUGAUUAUAG
rnacentral:lncRNA from 1 species